rnacentral:lncRNA from 10 species
GUUUUGGGUAUAAAUAGUGGUAAUGGUUACACAACAUUGCAAAUGCAUUUAAUGUCACUGAACUGUACACUUAAUGAAUGGUUAAAAUGGUAAAUAUUAUUUAUAUUUUAUCAUGAUUACAAAAUACAGAUUUCACAUAAAAAUCUGGAUUUCUGAUUUCUCUUCAAAGGAAAAAAAUGCAGAUCUGACACCACCGAGUCAUGCUUUGUAUAUAUCAAUGAUUGGUGGGAGCUGAAGCAACUGGUGCCUUUAGAUAGGAUGAAAACUCUCA